CGUGUAGGCGGCUUGGUAAGUCAGAUGUGAAAGCCCUGGGCUCAACCCAGGAAGUGCAUUUGAAACUACCAGACUUGAGUACGGGAGAGGAGGGGGGAAUUCCCGGUGUAGAGGUGAAAUUCGUAGAUAUCGGGAGGAAUACCGGUGGCGAAGGCGCCCCUCUGGACCGAUACUGACGCUGAGACGCGAAAGCGUAGGGAGCAAACA
rnacentral:rRNA from 1 species